AUAUAUAUAUGACCAGGUUAUAAUGAGAAUCAAUCCUAUAAUAGGAAUUAGGAAUUAAUCAGAACCGUGCUAGAUCGACCGCUGGGAUCUAUUCAGAUGCGAAUUCUCUCUCCUCCGUUCUUUUCUCUUUCAUUCUCACAGACGCCAUUUUCGUUCUCCUCCACCAUUUUCGUUCUCCCUUACCUCAAUUAACAACUCGAUUUUAUGGAAUUUGCUACAAUUUACAUAUUGUUUCGAUAAUUUGCUGGAUUCGUUGCAAAAUUUCUCAAUAAUUGAGGUAAGAAUUGUGAAUUUUUCCAACAAUAAUCAUGUCAUAUUAUAUAUCCUAUCUUGGAUUUUCUUUGUAUUCCAGAAAAUUUGUCCCUAUAUUUGUUAUAAUUUGUCAAUAUUUUACUGAAAUUCACUUGAGAUGCAAAUUGAGUUCAAAAUAGGUGUAAUUAUAAAAAUUUGAUGUUGUUUAAUUGUUUACUGCAAAAAUUACGAUAUAUGAUUGUGAAUUAUGUGUUGUUUAAUUUAAUUUGUCGAUUUUUUUUGCUCAAAUAUAUGUGAAAUUCGGAGAGUUUGCAAACGAAUAUGAUUGAGUUUGAGUUAAUUCUUGUAUGAAUUUCUUAUGAUUGAGUAUGUGUUAUUUUUGGAACUAUUUUGGGUGAUUUUUUUUUUCCUUUUACAUUCAGCAAAGUUUGAUACUACGUAUUUUUCUAGUUUUUCAUUGCACAUCUGUUUGAACUUUGAAUGCAUCAAUGAGUAAAUUUAAAAUGACAUUGAAAAGUAAACUACAUUCCUCGAAAAGUAAGCUAGAUAUGUUUAAAUGUAACACUCUGCGGAAGUAACUGAAGAAAUGGAGAGGUGCAGAGAGUCUGCCCUUGAGAGGAGGAAGGCCAUUGAGUAAGAAAAGGAAUGUUUUCAAAAAGCUGUUUUGUUGUUCAGGACAUGCUGAAUACCAGAGAGGGCAAACAAGAUGAUUAGUAACAUCUCUUUCAUAGACCUUUAUCAGUUUAUCAUGUCUAACUAUGAUCAUUGUUAUUUCAUAGACCUUUGUACUCAUUAGUCACUUCCUGCUUCUUCUGCUGUGCAGGACUUGGUUUGUUUCUUCCGGCUAUUUGUAUGAUUUAUGCAGGUGUAAUGAUCAUGGAGAACCACUCCCUCCUGAUUAUCAAAAAUAUGUUAUUGACAAUGUGCUGAACUACCAUCCUGAUGAACGGCUAAAAUUGGGGCUGAAGUUGAUUUUAUUAUGGUUAAAAAGCAUAGCAACUUCCAAGAAAGUCGUUGCUUUUAUGUCGUUUUAAUGGAUGGGCAUAAUGUGGACUUCUCAUACAUCAAGUGCUUGGAGACUUGUGUUAAGGGAAAGUACCAAUUAGUUGCUGAGUCCUUCAUGUCCAAGUAUUUUAGAAGGCCUUGUUCAGGAGGUAAUCCCUCGCCUGCAAGCCCCCCACCACCAAGUCUAAAAGUAGAUUGAAAUUAGUUAAAGUAAUUAAGAUAAUUCUAAUAGUAGAUUGAAAUUAGUUAAAGUAAAUAAGAUAUCUCCAAAAAUAGAUUGAAACGAGAUCCACCUUCUCUGCUUCCAGUUUAGGUUCAGUUGUAAGAAAUUUUGGUGCUCUUGGGUUAAAUUCUCGCUCUUCUUUAAUGUCCUCAUCAGCUUGCUGCAUCUCAAAAAUCUCUUUAAUUUGUUGCAGCUGUCCAAGAGCUCUAGUUGCUAUCAAAUCCUCUUUCGUGGGAAAUGUGUUUUCUGGCCUCUUGUAUAUUGAUUCUGAUGACAAGUGCAAUUGCUUCUUUUGUCCUAUGGUAUUCUUGUGAUUCUGAUUUUCCUACAUUAUCAACAUUACUUAUUUACAUCUGAUUAAAGCUCUACUUUAUCAAAAUACAUAUGUUUGCGCCCUUGAUACCCAAUAAAGCUUGUUGAUAAGAUAGUGUCUUUAAUAAUUUACAAAGACUACGUUACUGCUAACACUGAUGUUGAUAAGCCUGAAAUUAUGAUAAUGGUUGUACGAAUAGUAAACUCAACUUGAAUUGUGUUGCUCCUUGUACUCCUGACUCUUCAUUUGAUGAAAGAUGUUUAUGUUGAUUCAUCCUGAUUCUAAUGCUGGUAAUUGAAUCGAAAACUCAAAUGAAAAUCAAAAAAUGCUAAUUGAAUUAAAAACGCAAGUCUUAAUUAAGUAAGAAAACAACAAAGAAAAAAACAGGCAAAUCCUAAUUGAAUACAACCAACAACGUAAACACUUAUUUCAAAAAAAAAAAAAAGAAAAAAAAACCCGUAAACACUUGAUAGAAUCAAAAAUUACAAAAUCAAAACACUUACCUCUCCAACAACAAUCGAAAAACUUGAUACACCAAAUCAAAGUUUUGAGACGUGAAAUCGAAGUAGUAAAAUCGCAGCAGAGAGAAUUCAAGAGAAGAGAGGGAAAG